UGGGCAGACACAGAUGAUGACGGCCUCCUCGGUGGAGAGGUGGUUCCGAGAAGGACGAAUUGCCUGUGAGGAAAACAUAACCCUCUAGACAUACUCCGAGUCUUCUUCACUCAGCAGAGUUGCACAGGACAGACUCAUUUUGGUGGUCGCACUUAACGUUUCCACAUCAUGAGUAGCAAGGAAUGGAACAUGCUGGGACGAAGACAGAAGCCCAUCUGUUUUGAACAACUGACUUGAUCAGAUUACAAUCUCACUCUUUCUCCAAAGCCAUUUUAAGACCCAGCAAAAUGCUAGUUUCUGGAACGACUGAAAUGAUACUUUCUGACUUCAACCCAACCUCCGCUGUAGGAAGUUUGAAACCUUGAAGGUUGCUGUUCAAGUUUGCCAAUGACUUAAAUGGAUUUUAUUUUCCACCCACAGAACUGAGGUUAGAGAGUUUGUUCUGUACAAGAUUCAGCAGGAGGGACAGACUGUCCUUGAUCAUGCCGAGGCUCUGUCUACGCAGGCAGAUCUUCCUCUCUGGGGCUGAAGAAUCGAGUUCCCUGUCCAUCAAUGUGCAUAUGAUAAAAUUCACGGAGUCAGAGCUAGACUUCUGCCCCGGAGGCCACAGGCAUCUCCCAUUGUAAAUAAAGGGCCACCUGGCGGAUAAUGCACGCCUCGGUGAAUUUCCCGUCCAACCUCACUUUGGGCUACUUUUUUGAACAUUAUCUUAUCAGAGCAACUAAUGUCUACUUCUCUGUACUUUUUUUUUCAUAAGCAUCUCCUACUCACAUUUUUCUUGUAACAGCUUUAGUUAAAAUGACCAGUUGCCUUGAGGCUUGCUA